GACGAACGCUGGCGGCGUGCUUAACACAUGCAAGUCGAACGGAGUGGCGAACGGGUGAGUAACACGUGGGUGAUCUGCCUUGCACUUCGGGAUAAGCUUGGGAAACUGGGUCUAAUACCGGAUUGUGCAAGAUGAGCUCGCGGCCUAUCAGCUUGUUGGUGGGGUAUUGGCCUACGAAGGCGUCGACGGGUAGCCGGCCUGGGCGGGUGUACGGCGACAUUGGGACUGAGAUACGGCCCAGACUCGUACGGGGGCCAGAAGUGGGGAAUAUUGCACAAUGGGCGGGAGCCUGAUGCAGCGACGCCGGGUGGGGGAGGAAGGCCUUCGGGUUGGAAACUCCUUUCGACAGGGACGCGGUACCUGUAUAAGAAGCACCGGCUAACUACGUGCCAGCAGCCGCGGUAAUUC
rnacentral:rRNA from 1 species